rnacentral:rRNA from 1 species
UACGUAGGGUGCAAGCGUUGUCCGGAAUUACUGGGCGUAAAGAGCUCGUAGGUGGCCACAUAAGUCCGUUGUGAAAGUCAAAGGCUCAACCUUUGAAAGCCGAUGGAUACUGUGUGGCUAGAGUACGGAAGAGGCGAGUGGAAUUCCUGGUGUAGCGGUGGAAUGCGCAGAUAUCAGGAGGAACACCAAUAGCGAAGGCAGCUCGCUGGGACGUUACUGACACUGAGGCGCGAAAGCGUGGGGAGCGAACAGG